GCAAAUGAUGAUACAUUUUUAACCCUUACCGUGCUUUGCACGCAUGGAGAUCCAAACUAUGCAACAAACACUCUAAUUUUUUACUGAUU
rnacentral:snoRNA from 1 species